UCAAACUUGGUCAUUUAGAGGAAGUAAAGGUCGUAACAAGGUUUCCGUAGGUGAACCUGCGGAAGGAUCAUUAAAAAAAAAUAAUAAUCCACAAAUCUACCUCUUGUGCAACUAUUGAAGAAAAGUUAAUCUUUGGGAGAUUGAGGGAGGAAAAUUUUCCUUUCCUCAUCUCCCAAAGGUGUUUUUAAUAUAAAACUUUUUUCAUUUAAAUGGCUUAACAAUUAAACAAAUAAUUACAUAACAACUUUCAACAACGGAUCUCUUGGCUCUCGCAUCGAUGAAGAACGCAGC
rnacentral:misc_RNA from 1 species